GCCCUCCACCGGAGGGGCGGGAGCGGAAGGGGCACGCGGAAAUGCCGGGGGAAGGGGGGCAGAGGUCGAAGGUCAGGAGGUAAGAGUACGGUGUAAGAGUAGUUGCUGAUUUCUCAUCGGUGCAGUCGAAUCCCCGAGGUACCGGGUCACGCUCCCUAAAAAAGUUUUGUCCUCGUUUCUACGUUUUUAGAAUUAAAGACAACGAGCUUCUCUCUGCGGCAGGGCAGCUGCCAACUUGACUUUAAAAGCCAGAGCUGCCAACGGACUUGGCUGCUCCGGACCCGAUCCACUGUGUGAAGGGUUGAAUUGGCCAAGCGCCGAGCUCUUAUCGCAUAUUUUGAAUGUGCCUCUGCCUCCCAUUAAGGAAGCCUAGUAAUAACUUUAAUCCACAAGAGAUGUUUCUAGGCAAAGGAAUUUUGCAUUCCGAGAAGACUCCUAGAGUUAAAUAAGAUCCAGAUUCUCAUCCUCGCCCCUACCUUUGGCAACAAUGGAUGAGGAAGCAGAGGGAAAACGGAAAGCAGUCAAAGAGGCUGGCAUCAUAAAACUGGAAGUCUUCUUAAGGAGUUACGUCACACCUCCCCACAAAGAAAAUUAAGGGGACACGGGUUUGAUCCUUGCUCGGGUAAGAUCCCACAAAGAUUCCACAUGCCACGGAGCAACGAAGCCAGUGCGCCGCAACUACUGAGCCUUCUCUCUAGAGCCCUCAAGUCACAACUACUGAGCCCGUGCACCACAACUAAUGAAGCCGGUGUGCCUGAGAGCCCAUGCUCUGAGAUGAGAAGCCCGUGCGCAAGGAAGAGUAGCCCCCGCUCAUUGCAACUGGAGAAAGCCCUGGUGCAGCAAUAAAGACAGAGCACAAACAAAUAAAAAAUAAAUUAUAAAAAAAUAUUCUAGAGAGAAAAUAAUAAACAGGUAAACAA
ensembl:lncRNA